ensembl:misc_RNA 7SK 7SK RNA
AGGGUGAUCUGGCUAAGACAUCUGUCACUCACUGAUGGCCAGGAUUUACUUGGCUUGCAAGGCUGUCCCCUUGCUCCCU